AAGUUGCUAGGCUGGCACUACACACACUUAAGACUUUAGAAGCUCUCAGACUAAAGUCUUAAGGGUGUGUAUUGCAGGCCUAGCAAUGC
ensembl:miRNA microRNA 5709